UCACAUCCCAUUUAUGGCAAGCCUACAUAGGGUUUUCAGGAUAUGUUGAGAUAUUUAAGGAUUGGUUUUAUAAGUGAACUUUUGUUGCCUGCAGGGGAUUUGAAUCCAGAUCUUCGAGGCCAUUCCAGUCACCACACCAUGCUGGCUCUUAGUAAACAGCAGACUUCAGCAUCACGUCCUUUGUCUUUUGAGAAGAUCAAAUGUAUCAAGAAGAAGGGCUUCUUGCCUAGUCUUCCCUCCAACAUGCUAAGUUUCUGUGAAGACUGUCUCACCCUGUGGUGCAGGCUGGUACAAUCCAGACACAGACUCUCCCCAUCUACCGUUCUGGACAAACUAGGGCCAACAUCAAAGCAAAGGUCACUUUUCAGCAAAUCACCAGAAGCCUUCACAAGAAAGCAUGCAUCUUUGUUGUGAAAUAUUCAUGCGGCCUGAACACUCCUUGAUAAAUUACUUUGUGUGCAUUGUAAAACAUAGGCCACAUAAUGUGUGUCUUUAAAAAAUGUACUUAGUCCUAAACUAUGCUGAAUUCUUACUGUGAUGACUUUAAUCUAUUAAAAUCAUUGUCUAUUUAUGUUUCAGGCUGUGCUAAAUUUGUUGCUAAUUAUCCAUGGCCUAAGGCUUCAGCUCUGUGCUCAGUUCCUCACAAUAUGCAUUUCACUGAAGUCAGCUUUAAUUAAAGUGCAUACAACUGAUGCCAGGAUUGCAUCUUAGGAUUUUCCUUUAAAGAAAAACUGUGGUUCUACAGGAUGAGGUUUCUUGUAGAAGUUAAGGCUAUUGUGUGCUACCCCUUAGAAAGACAUAGACCCUUACAGGCAUUUCUAGAUUCAACAGGUAGUUGGGUUUUGAGGUAGAAGGCUCUGCCUACCUGAUUCCAGAGCCACUCCUUCAGGCCUGGAUUCUUUUCUAUUAUCUCAAGUAUGGAAAGGAGCAGAUUUUUGAGAACUAGGGCAUACCAGACAUUCCCUUUACAAUAAGAGCAUCAGGCUGUUCUACUUGUCCUUAUUCACAGGGAAAGCCUUUGCUGCUCAUUGACUCCUCAAAGAGCUGCAUUUAAUAGCAGCUGCUAGACCUUCGAUUAACCAACAUAUGCCAAUAGAUUGUAGAUCCUCAAUGAGUACAAUGGAUCCAUACCUUACAACAAUGUGGCAGUCCAAGUGCACCUGGUUAAUGAUCAUCUGAUCUUUGCAUGACUUCCCUACUCCCCAUUUGCUGAGAUUUGUUACUGGACAUCAAGAAGCCAUUUGAUCCAGCAACAAAAGAUAUUUGUCCUUGAUUCAAUGUUCAUUGCACUGGCCCCUCUGUGUGUGUGUGUGUGUGUGUGUGUGUGUGUCUUUUCCACCAGUGGAUGUGCCUAUCAAAGUUCGGUGUGGCCUGACACCAAGUAUGCUGGAUGUAUAACAACUGCGCAUGUAGAACUCCCUUGUUAGAUGGGAGCCACCUCCUUAAAUCUCAAUGUCCUAUGAGAGUGGGAAAAUAUAUUGGACAAAAGAUUGCAAUUUGUUUCCUUCCCAAGAGAAGAAAGACGAAGCAGGGAAACCCAGAUACAGCCAAACAUGAAACAAGCAAAAGGCAGACCUUUCAAGCAAUAAUCACGGAAUAGCUCUUAUAUCUAGACAGAACAGAAUAUGCUGCUUGUAGACUAGGAGAGAGCACUGGGAGGAACAUCAACACUAUCUUUUUCAGUUGCCUCUUUUUUAUUAUUUUUUUCAGUAGUCUGAUUUGAUAUUGCAAACACCUUCACAACAUACAAAAAAACCCAAAUUUGUUUUAUUCAAAACAUAUACGGUGAUGAUGGGGAACUCUCCCCUCUUUUAAAACCAUGUGGGAAUUAAAAAAAAAACAGUAAAACUAUGACAACAGCACCUUGACAUUGUUUUAAUUCCAACGCUACCAGAAGAAAUUUUAAAGCAGUAAACAGAUAUAAUACUAACAGGAAUAAAGAUACUUACUGUCUAAAAUGUAAAUGGAAU
ensembl:lncRNA